UGAUCUAGUUCUCCUGAUGACACCUUC
rnacentral:sRNA from 1 species